UUUAAUGAGAGUUUGAUCCUGGCUCAGGACGAACGCUGGCGGCGUGCCUAAUACAUGCAAGUAGAACGCUGAGGUUUGGUGUUUACACUAGACUGAUGAGUUGCGAACGGGUGAGUAACGCGUAGGUAACCUGCCUCAUAGCGGGGGAUAACUAUUGGAAACGAUAGCUAAUACCGCAUAAGAGUAAUUAACACAUGU
rnacentral:rRNA from 2 species